rnacentral:rRNA from 1 species
AUGUGGGGGAUGGCGCGCAUCGAUGAGUGGAAACCGGUGAUCGCAAUGCUGGUCUUCGACCUCAUCUCUGCCGUGACAACGGCCCUGAUCAAGGCGGCGCUCGAGGAAGGGCUCGACCGUCUAGUGCUCAUCACGCUGCGUCAACUGGUGGCCACGGUCUUCCUUUCUCCGGUCGCAUUUUUCAAAGAACGGAACACACGGCCUAAGCUCACACUGGAGAUCCUCGUGUACCUCUUCUUCAGCGCAGCGUUAGGCGCCGCGCUCUCUCAGUAUACCUUCUUCUACGGGCUGCAGUACACAACAGCAACGUUUGCAAUAACUUUCACCAACCUGGCUCCAGUGCUGACUUUCCUCAUCGCGGUCUUGCUCAGGGUGGAGUCACUGAACAUGAAGAACAAGGCAGGAGCUGCGAAGAUCAUCGGGACGCUCAUGUCGUUCGCCGGCGUCAUGCUCCUGACCCUCUACAAGGGUGUGGCCUUGACACACCAAGCAGAGCCUUCAGGCCAGCAUGCAGAAGCAGAAGCAGCAGCAGAAUCUGGCAAGAAGAGCUGGACCCUGGGCACUCUAGCAUUACUGGCAAACUGCCUGUGCUUCUCCUUUUGGCUCCUGCUGCAGUCCAAGCUCACCAAGAAGUACCCAGCACUCUACUCCAGCACUGCAUACAUGUUCCUCAUCAGCUCCCUGCAGGGAGGUGGCCUGACAGCGGCGAUACAGCGGAGGGCAUCGGUGUGGGUCCUCACAAAGCCAGUGGAGAUUGUUACAGUACUAUACACAGGAAUCUUGGGGUCUGGAGUGGGAUAUGUACUGAUGACAUGGUGUGUGGAGAAGCGAGGGCCGGUGUUCACUUCAGCCUUCAUCCCCAUCAUCCAGAUCAUGGUUGCCAUAAUUGAUUUCUUCUUUCUCCAUGAGAACAUCUACCUUGGAAGUGUGCUGGGAUCCAUACUGAUGAUCAUGGGCCUCUAUAUUCUGCUGUGGGGAAAGAGCAGGGAUGCCUCGGCGACAGUACCACCUGCCAAAGAGGAAGAGGAUAAGGAGAAGCAAAUCAAAUCAUGA